rnacentral:rRNA from 1 species
AACGAACGCUGGCGGCAGGCUUAACACAUGCAAGUCGAGCGCCCCGCAAGGGGAGCGGCCUGCUGGUGAGUAACGCGUGGGAACGUACCUUUUGGUUCGGAACAACUCCGGGAGACUGGAGCUAAUACCGGAUAAGCCCUAACGGGGAAAGAUUUAUCGCCGAAAGAUCGGCCGGCGUCUGAUUAGCUGGUUGGUGAGGUAACGGCUCACCAAGGCGACGAUCGGUAGCUGGUCUGAGAGGAUGAUCCGCCACACUGGGACUGAGACACGGCCCGGACUCCUACGGGAGGCAGCAGUGGGGAAUAUUGGACAAUGGGGGCAAGCAUGAUCCAUCCAUGCCGCGUGAGUGAUGAAGGCCUUAGGGUUGUAAAGCUCUUUUGUCCGGGAAGAUAAUGACUGUACCGGAAGAAUAAGCCCCGGCUAACUUCGUG